UACGUAGGCAGCAAGCGUUGUUCGGAGUUACUGGGCGUAAAGAGUGCGUAGGUGGUGCCCUAAGUCUGUUGUGAAAUCUCCCGGCUUAACUGGGAGGGUGCGGUGGAAACUGGGGUGCUUGAGUGUGGGAGAGGUAAGCGGAAUUCCACGUGUAGCGGUGAAAUGCGUAGAGAUGUGGAGGAACACCAGUGGCGAAGGCGACUCUUUGGUCUGUAACUGACGCUGAGGCGCGAAAGCGUGGGGAGCAAACAGG
rnacentral:rRNA from 1 species